CGCUGGGAAGAGGGAUGUGUGGCAGAGUGGGGGAAUUUGUAGGCAAAAGAAGCAAUGUUUCUUCCAGCAGCUCUAGGGUUAAUCCUGUCAGGCAAGCAGGUGCAUGGGCUGCUAAUUAACCUAGCUGCUGAGUGUUAAAAGCUUGUGUUUUUGAGCAGACAGAGAGCCCAGUGAGAGGAGAUGGGAGCUCCAGUGAAAGUGCUCUGACAAAAGCCGCCGUGUACUCAGAAGGUCAUUGUUUGGUGAGGUUUCAUCUAUUCAAGUGAGGAGCUAGAAGAUGAGGACAAUGAACUCAUGGAAGAGGAACAAGAUGAAUUUUCAGGUUCAAUACCUGAUUUCUCCAGAGUUCGAUCUGGGAAUGAAGACUGGCUUUCUUUAGGUCACAGAAGUACAAAGAAGUACAACUCAUGUCACAGAUACUGAAUAUAUAUGCCAAAGAUCUCUUAAAUCUAGGCACUGGGUAUUAUAAGAGAAUGUGCAGAAUUCUGUGAAAUGAAUGGCAUCACUUGAAGGAAUUUUGAAGUCCAAAAAGAAUCCAGACAAACAUUUCUGACUUUGGAUUUCUGUUCAGGCCAAUCAGGAUCUGAUUCUGAUCUAAGCUGCCUUUUUAUACUGUGAAUACUGUUGUCAGUGCACCAAUGAGAUUUUAAUGGAGCACACAAGCACUACUGGUGCGAAUAUUUUUGCAGAAUAUGAAAGGUGGACUAAUUCACUCCUGGCAGUUUGUUGGACAAGAAACCUUAUCUACUAGAAGAUGCCCAGAAUGAGCACCAUUGCUGCACAACCUCUGCUUCUUCCACUGCGCUACUCCACUAAGAACAUUAUAUGGCACAUCAGUGGGCUGGUAUUGCUCAGAAACUAUGGAGUUUUGGAUGUACAGAACUCAUGAAAUUGGAGAUUUUAUACUUGAACAACAGAAAACUUGGAGGGGAAACACCUUUCAAUCUAUUUUUAAAGCAGGAACUGGACCAUCUGUGUUUUUUACUGGCUGAAAUAAGAAGGAAUUUGCAGGUACGAUUCAGACAAGGGUUGAUUUUUUGGUGCCCCUCCAUGGGGGCACACUCUGCAACACAAUAUUUUAGUAAUAAUUUUGUAUUGUCUCUACCAGAGACGAGAGUUGCCCAAUAGGGUAUAAAAUCAGACAUCCUAUAGAUUAAACUGACACCUUUAGUGACACAGGGGCAGCUUUCUUGAGCGUCAAGAUUAUUUAGGAUUAUAAAGAAUUGCCUGGAGUCAUCAGACAUAUCAUGGGAUCAAUUUUCAGAGGCCGCCAUUACCAUUAUCAAUGAUUUAUAUCGUAAAAGAGCCCCUACACACUGGUGGAAGUUGGUAUGGAACUUGCCCUGCCGAAAUAUUUUACAAUAUGUUAAAAAAUAAAAGUAAUAAGUGGUGAAUACAGGUCUAGGGGGUAACAUUAUAAAGCUAUAUAUCUGACACUGUAAAGUAGCUCAGGAUUUCUACAAUAUUGUGUCCACAUUAUGGACCAAGCCAGUGCUAGACUUUUGCCCAAUGCUGGAUACGUGUGUAUGCACCUGCUAAUUGCAGAUGAAAUUCUCUGGCCCGCAUUUCAGUAGUUACAGUGCAGACUAUAAUGUGUGUCUCAGUAGCUAUGGGGAUUGAGUAAUGUGGUUGGGGCAACUUUUUUUGG